UACCUGUGCUGAGAGCUUGGACAGCGUUUCCAUAGGCUCACUGUCAAGUGGCAGUUAAAAGUCCCCUUCACUGAGAAGCAAAGAACACUGCCUGGUGGAUUAUGUGUGAGAGAUUGUUCAAACCUUCCUUCUGUGGAUUGGUGCUCCUCAACCCACAGUUGUACAGUGGUUGGCUGCAGCUUCACCAACGAGCUGCUUCGACCUCAGCUGCACUCACGACCUCUUCAUGCCUUCAAAAUCAGUACAACCUGGGAGAUUCAUGUUGACCAAAGUUCAGCUGUCAGCAUGAGAUGCCAUCUCUAUCACAGCUCCUGUGUGCUAAACGUGAGGAAAGACUUCUCUGAAGAUUUGUCCUCAGUGAUGCUGGUCCUUUCUUAGUCGCAGCUUUAUUUUUUUGACUCAGGUGGCUGGUUUCUAUUGUCCCCGAAAAGCAAGGGUAGUUUUUAAUUUAAAAUAUUGGGUGUCAGGGAACAGGGACUAUUUCUGACAGGAACUCAAUGGCAGGCUCUUUGACUUCCCCACCCCCCAAGGGAGGAACAGCCCUGCUAGGCCACAGAGGAGGACUUUGCAGCCAGCCCUGAAGAUACCUGAUAAAAUAGGGCCAGAUGAAAGGGGAGGAGCUCCUCCCCAAUCCGUGGACUUGGAA